rnacentral:rRNA from 1 species
GACGUAGGGCGCGAGCGUUGUCCGGAUUUAUUGGGCGUAAAGAGCUCGUAGGCGGCUUGUCGCGUCGACUGUGAAAACCCGCGGCUCAACCGCGGGCCUGCAGCCGAUACGGGCAGGCUAGAGUUCGGUAGGGGAGACUGGAAUUCCUGGUGUAGCGGUGAAAUGCGCAGAUAUCAGGAGGAACACCGGUGGCGAAGGCGGCAUCCUGGACCAUUACUGACGCUGAGGCGCGAAAGCUAGGGGAGCAAACGGG